ensembl:lncRNA
GCGAGUUCCUGCUACUUGGUUUUUGUGACCUUGAGCAAGCCAUUUACCCAUGUUAAUUCAGUUUCUAAGUAUGGGUGUAAUAAAUGCUGCUUCUUGAGGUUACUGCGAAAAUGAAAAGUAUUAAAGUAUUCAGCAAGACGUAGUACAUAGUAGGCGUCCAGUGAAUAAAUCCCGUUUGUCUUUCUCUGUCCCUCCCUCAACUCCAGGUUUCAUGAACCCUCUGGACUUGCUAGCUGAACGCUUACAUUGUUUGAAGCUCAAAAAGAAAUAAAAACACAUCUCAUGCCCUAAAGGCACUACAAAGAACAUUGACAGACAUGAAAUAUUAAAUCCAACCAAGUCCAGGGCGAUGCCAUACAUUUACAUUGCUCUCAAGAACACACUGAUGGCUAAGGAGAUUCAGGGAAGUCUUGCAUUUAACUUCAACCUCAAAGAAGUGGCUCUGACACUUUCUGAUCAAAAGCGCCUCCAAGGACCUGAGCCUGGAGGACUCAGCUCUCGGGGAUUGUCCAGGUGGGGCCAAACCCACAAGCAAAUCUGCAGAGACGAGAGGAUUCCUCCUCCUGAGGCCAUUGGGUGAAAUCCCAGGAAUAUUUCAAGGCACGUAUUUCUCUCAGUCCCUUGGAAGAAAAUGUCUCAAGCUCGCUUCAGGCGCCGGGAGGGAAACAGAAGAAUGGUGACAUCUGGUGGCCAGGACUCUCUGUGCUGUAGCUGGAUCCUACAGGCUCCGAUCAAAACAGACUCACUUGGAAGCCAAGAUCUCAAGGGGGGGUUAAUAAUUGUACCACCUGGCUGUCCAAAGACUUCUGAAAAACAUCACUCAUUCCAACUUUAUGGAUCCGCCACUUCAUAGCAUGCUGCAGAUGGUUAUUUCAGAACAUUUUGAUGAAAAGUGUGUGUACAUUAAAUAUACAGUAUAAGGAUACAAAUUCAGGUGUAUAUGAAAAUACAUGCAUUUUCUAUAUUAGUAGUAUAUACUCCAAUAACUUACAUAAAUAAUAUACUUGCAACGCCUUUGAGAGAAAUCAAGUCCACCUUGAUUGUUUUUCCCACAGUUAAGAUUGUGACUUACAAUCAUUGCUAAAUAACACUGUACACACACAGGUGCUCUCCUGGAUGGAGUUAUGUAUCCCAUCAUGUUCUCUCAAGAGAGUGCGUUACAAACUGAAGAGGAAGCAAAUAACAGGCUGGAGUUUCAACACCCCUGGCAGCUGAUGGCCACGGUCAUGUGUCCAUGGGGGACAUCUCAUCCUUUCUAGCAUUUCCACUACCAAUGCAGAAUGGAGCUUAGGUUAAAAGAAGGAAGAUGUGGGGGAUGAUUUCAUGACAAUGCCACAGCGUCUGUUGGGAUGGCUAAGUUGGCUCUUAACUGUAUUGCUCCACUUCUGUCCAUGUAUUUGUUCCGUGUACCACACUUCAGAUAAUCACUCAAUUAGACACAUGAAAACACAACUCGAGCCACACAAUCAAGGCCAUUGUUUCCUGGCAUCUCUUACUAGGCUCUAUGUGAAUUGUAAUUACCCUCAUUACAAUUCACACAUCAGAUGAGCCUGAAAGUGUUGGCCACUUAGAUCCUCAGC